rnacentral:rRNA from 1 species
CAGUCGAGCGGUAGCACAGGGAGCUUGCUCCUGGGUGACGAGCGGCGGACGGGUGAGUAAUGUCUGGGAAACUGCCUGAUGGAGGGGGAUAACUACUGGAAACGGUAGCUAAUACCGCAUAACGUCUACGGACCAAAGUGGGGGACCUUCGGGCCUCAUGCCAUCAGAUGUGCCCAGAUGGGAUUAGCUAGUAGGUGGGGUAAUGGCUCACCUAGGCGACGAUCCCUAGCUGGUCUGAGAGGAUGACCAGCCACACUGGAACUGAGACACGGUCCAGACUCCUACGGGAGGCAGCAGUGGGGAAUAUUGCACAAUGGGCGCAAGCCUGAUGCAGCCAUGCCGCGUGUGUGAAGAAGGCCUUCGGGUUGUAAAGCACUUUCAGCGAGGAGGAAGGGUUCAGUGUUAAUAGCACUGUGCAUUGACGUUACUCGCAGAAGAA